UCAAAAAAAAAGGCGAACGUUUGGGCUUCGYCCUGAUUUAGUAGUCUUUUUUCUUUUAAACCCAUUCCUUAAUACUGAAUAUACUGUGGGGACGAAAGUCUCUGCUUUUAACUAGAUAGCAACUUUCAGCAGUGGAUGUCUAGGCUCGCACAUCGAUGAAGAACGCUGCGAACUGCGAUACGUAAUGCGAAUUGCAGGAUUCAGUGAGUCAUCGAAAUUUUGAACGCAUAUUGCACUUCCGGGUUAGUCCUGGAAGUAUGCCUGUAUCAGUGUCCGUACAUUAAACUUGACUUUCUUCCUUCCGUGUAGUCGGUGGAGGAGAUGUCAGAUGUGAAGUGUCUUGCGAUUGGUCUUCGGACCGGCUGCGAGUCCUUUUAAAUGUACUAAACUGAACUUCUCUUUGCUCGAAAAGUGGUGGCGUUGCUGGUUGUGAAGGCUGCUAUUGUGGCAAAUUGGCGACUGGUUUGUCUGCUGCGGCAUUAAUGGAAGAGUGUUCGAUUCGUGGUAUGGUUGGCUUCGGCUGAACAAUGCACUUAUUGGACGUUUUUCCUGCUGUGGCGUGAUGGACUGGUGAACCAUAGCUCGGUGGCUUGGCUUUUGAAUUGGCUUUGCUGUUGCGAAGUAGGGUGGCAGCUUCGGUUGUCGAGGGUCGAUCCAUUUGGGAACUUAAUGUGUACUUCGGUAUGCAUCUCAAUUGGACCUGAUAU
rnacentral:misc_RNA from 1 species